CACGAAUGAAUAUCAAAGGGGGGCUAAGCGCCCCCAAACACACCGAACAUCUCUCAAGAAUAACAUCAUCAUCCAAUCAUAAAAGCGAUAAUACAGACGUAAAUGAAGAGCCGAUACAAGAAAUGUGUACAUUGCAAAGUCAACUGGGUUCUACUUUAACAUCCAUGUCCGUGGUAACCAACAGUUGCCCCAUUCUUGCCUUCAAAGUCUCAGAGUUGAUAAUUCUGGCCUUUAAGGUCUCAGAGUUGAUCAUUUGCAGUUCCUCAACUCUUUGGGAAGAUGAUUUGGUUUGGAUUGGUUUGGUUUUGUUGAUCAUAUACAUUUCUAAGAUGCUAACUGAACUACCACUCAGGGGGCACAUAUGAUGAAUCCGUCAAACUUCACUUACAGAGCAAAUCAAUUUGAGAGCUGGAAUCUUCCUGUUGGUUUCCUCUUUCUCCAUCCCUAACAAGUAGUGGGAAUAACACAGUUGUGCAUGAUUUCUUUUAUAGUUGUUAAUGUGAAUGACUAAGCACUUGAU
rnacentral:misc_RNA from 1 species